GUGGAUUAGAUACCCGGGUAGUCCACACCGUAAACGUUGGGCGCUAGGUGUGGGACUCAUUCCACGAGUUCCGUGCCGCAGCUAACGCAUUAAGCGCCCCGCCUGGGGAGUACGGCCGCAAGGCUAAAACUCAAAGGAAUUGACGGGGGCCCGCACAAGCGGCGGAGCAUGCGGAUUAAUUCGAUGCAACGCGAAGAACCUUACCUGGGUUUGACAUAUACGAGAAGCCUCUAGAGAUAGAGGUCUCUUUGGACACUCGUAUACAGGUGGUGCACGGCUGUCGACAGCU
rnacentral:rRNA from 1 species